UUUGCAUAUCAAUAAGCGGAGGAAAGUAGACCAACCGGGAUUGCCUUAGUAACGGCGAGUGAAGCGGCAAAAGCUCAAAUUUGAAAUCUGGUACCUUCGGUGCCCGAGUUGUAAUUUGGAGAGGGCAACUUUGGGGCCGUUCCUUGUCUAUGUUCCUUGGAACAGGACGUCAUAGAGGGUGAGAAUCCCGUGUGGCGAGGAGUGCGGUUCUUUGUAAAGUGCCUUCGAAGAGUCGAGUUGUUUGGGAAUGCAGCUCUAAGUGGGUGGUAAAUUCCAUCUAAAGCUAAAUAUUGGCGAGAGACCGAUAGCGAACAAGUACAGUGAUGGAAAGAUGAAAAGAACUUUGAAAAGAGAGUGAAAAAGUACGUGAAAUUGUUGAAAGGGAAGGGCAUUUGAUCAGACAUGGUGUUUUGUGCCCUCUGCUCCUUGUGGGUAGGGGAAUCUCGCAUUUCACUGGGCCAGCAUCAGUUUUGGUGGCAGGAUAAAUCCAUAGGAAUGUAGCUUGCCUCGGUAAGUAUUAUAGCCUGUGGGAAUACUGCCAGCUGGGACUGAGGACUGCGACGUAAGUCAAGGAUGCUGGCAUAAUGGUUAUAUGCCGCCCGUCUUGACCACGGACCA
rnacentral:rRNA from 1 species